GGAAGGAUGGCUGAGUGGUUUAAGGCAGCGGUCUUGAAAACCGUCGAGUGUAACAGCUCCCAGAGUUCGAAUCUCUGUCCUUCCG
rfam:Serratia odorifera DSM 4582 genomic scaffold SCAFFOLD1, whole genome shotgun sequence.